AACCCAUACAAGUCUGGAGUUUCAAGCAUUUGCCUUUACUGUUAUGCACUACAAUGCGUUUCCCACUAGGCAUCUUUACAAUGGCUCUGUUAGUAGAUGAGUAUGCAAAUUAUAUUUAUCUCCUGUGUGGGCGUCACUCUGGUCUCUCUGCUCUAUGAGUUUGACUAGGGGUUGCCUAGUGGUAGCUCUACCCCUAGGGCACUUCUAAUGAGAUAAUGUCAUUCAUGUAUUUAUUCAACAAGCAUUUAUUGGAGUGGUUAGUAUGUUUAGGCCUUGGAGAGUGGAAGAUGAUAUCAAUCUGAAUAGGACAUGCUACUGUAGCUUGCAGUGUUUGGGGAAAAAUAGACUCAAGUAUACGACAGUGUGCCAUGUGCUUUUUUAAGGUGUUAUACAGAGGAAGGAGUGACGAAGGUCACCUGGAGGAGUUAGAGAAGCAACAGCGUGUCCUAUGUUCUGACAACACUAAACUUCCCAGCACUCUGCAGUACCUCCAUGCCUUUGUGCUUCUGGAUCCCUCUGCCUAGCCAUCUUCCCUUCUUCCCUGUUCUUGGCAGAAUCACGCCCGUAUUUUAAGGCUGUGGCAGACCCGGGCUAAGAUGGAGAAACUGAGGCCUAAGGAGGUUCAGGGCCAUCCUCCAGGUCACAUGACUAGAACGUCAUACAGCUGGGUAUGUUGAACUCAUUCAGUUCUGACGUCACUGCCUGCAUGUUUCACCACCAUGCUUAUCUGCCUCUCACUGUGCAAUAAUGUUAUAAUUCUUCCCCAUUAGAGGGCUGGUGAGACCAGCGUAUUUCUCCAAAAUAAGCCCGUGAAAGCAUCCUCUGACUCCUGACAAGGCCCAGUGGAGCGGCUCUACCACUUGGAGCAUCAAGCCUCUUCCUCCCUUGAAGAAUGUGCCUCAUGUUCCUACCCACAGGCUUGGACCUGGGGUGCUCCGUGUGUGGCCUGCCCCUGGAUUCUUUGUCUCCACAGGUAGCAUGAGCUCCUGCAGCAUGUCCAGGUUUCAGAAAGAGGUGGGACUGCUCUCCCUGCUUUACGUGACCGUUGGCUUCAUCUCAGCUGUAGAAGGAGGAUGAUAACAGGACCUCCAUCCCCGGAUUUUGUGCAAAAUGAAUGGGAUGAAGCAUGUCAGAUCUGCAGGGCGAGGCUCGACCGGCAGUUUGCAUGCAGUGCACGUGUGUUCAUAAUGCACAUCCUGUGCCUUGAAUCCUCCUCUCUCCUUUUCUGCCUCCUUCAGCAGCCUUCCUCUGCUCCCUCAGGUAACCACUCCCUUUUAUGAGCUCUCUAAACAACCUUUUACUGUUUUUCUGGCCACAGUCACCUGUGUGUGUUAUAAUUUGUGAUGGAUGCCACAGUCCCUGGAGAGCAGAGACUCUUGGUCAGCUCUGACUGCCCAGUCCACAGCAGAGUCUGGUAUAUAUAUAGUCAGGGCUCCGGCAAAGUGUGUUGACUGAAUGAAUGAAAGUGGGACGUACAUACUGUGUAACACACAGGAUUCACCAGGUGUUUAAGGUGAGUCCAGGAAGACUCCUUUCUGUGGCUUCCAGUUUAUCAAGAAAAGGGACAUUUUAGGCCUGAGGAAUGCAGUGCUUUUAUGUGCAAGGGUUACAUAAAGAUCCUAACUCUUCCACUGCCUGAGUCCAAAUCUGGCUUUGCCAUUUAUCAGCAUUGUGAUCUGGAGUAAGUUACUUAAGCUCUCUGAGCUUCCUCAUUUUUAAAAUAUGGUUGCCUCAUUCAUUCAGUACCUAUUGAGUGCCUACUUUGUGCAGCCCUAUUAAAAGGGCUGGAGAAAAAUGGCACACCAACAAGGCAUUUGCAGUGUUCAAGGAAGAAGGCACCUAUAGUUUCCACCCUCAUGGGGUUCAGGGUCCAGGGAGGGAGAUAGAAAUUCAUCAAAGAAUCAACAAAUAAAGAAAAUCAGCUCUGGGAAAGAUGCUGUAAAGAGAUGUAUAGGGCUUGUGAGAGUCUGUCACAGGCCUUUUAAUCUGGGUGGGCAGGUGUCAGCUGAAGCCACGCGGAGCUGAGAGCUGGAGCAGAGAGCUCAGAGGUGGAAUUCAUGAGACAGGAGGCACAGGGAGGGAGGGGGCACUGCACACAGGGCAGCAGGUGUAGGGAACCUGAGGCAGGAGGAAGCAAGGGGCUUUGGAGGAACUCAAAGCCAGCGGCCUGACACAGGGAGAGUGGAAGGAUGCCUAGAACGAGUCAGGGAUUUUGAUGUACAUCAUAAGACAACUGGAAAAUCAAAAAGAUGUUUUAGCCAACAUGGGGGCAUCGGAGUCAGGGGUCAGAUUUGCAUCUUGAAAAGAUCAGAUGUGAGGUUUAAAUAUGAUAAUGUAGGUAAAGGGCUUGUUACCCGUAAUACACAGAAGCUUCUUCACAGUAAUGAUCGUUAAGUAACAACGGUGAUGAUGAUGAUGUUGAUGAUAAUGAUGGUGUUGAUGAUAAUGAUGGUGUUGAUGAUGGUAGGGCCAAGGUCUGAAUGUUUGUGUCUCCUGAAAAUUCAUAUGUUGAAACCAUAAGCCCUAAGGUGAUGGUAUUAAGAGGUGGGGCCUUUGGGAUGUGAUGAAGUCAUGAGGGUGGAGCCCUCAUGAAUGGGAUUAGUUCCCUUAGGAAGAAUCCUGAGAGAACUUCUCACCCCUCUGCCCCGUGAGGACACAACAAGAAGUCUGCAGUCUGGAAGAGAGCCCUCACUUGAGCAUGGUGACACCCUGAUCUUGGACUUCCAGCCUCCAGGACUGUGUGAAAUAAACUUGUGUUGGCUAUGAGCCAGCCAGUCUGUGCUAUGUUGUUAGAGCAGCCCAAACAGACUAAGACAGGUGGCAUCCAGUACUUCUUGAGCACUUCCUUGGCACCAGGCAUUGUAGUGUUAAUGGAAGUGAAACUGGGAGAAGUAGAACUGGUAACAGCAUUAGAUGUGGCACUGUUCGCCUGGCCGUGUCAGGUGGGACGACACUGAAGAUUAUGAGAAGCCAUCUAUAUUAGUUAUCUGUUGCUGUGUAAUAAUUAUCCUAAAAUUUCUUAAAACAGCAUGUAUGAAUUAGCUCACAGUUUCUCUGGGUCAGAAAUCCAGGCACAACUUACCCGAGUCCUCCAUCUCAGAGUCUGCAGGCUGCGUUCCCGGUCCAGCUGGGGCUGUGGUCAUCUCAGGCUCGAGAUGGGGAGGGGCCACUUUCAAGCUCACUGCCAUGGUUGUUGGUGGGAUUCCAUUCCACGCAGGCUGUUGGGCCGAGAGCCUCAGUUCUUCGCUGGUUGUUGGCUGGAGGGUUGCCCUCAGUUCCUGGCCACAGGGACACCUCCCCAGGGCAGCUCUCAGUGUGGCUUUCCUUAGAGUGAAUGAGUGAAAGAGCCACAGUGCCAGCAAGAGGGAAGUGAGAGUUUCACAUCCUCAUCUCAGAGGUGACAUCUCAUCACGUUUGCCGUGUUCUGCCAGAAAUGAGUCAGAGAGUGGAGUCUACACCCAAGGCCAGGGGAUUCCAUGCAGCAUGAGGACAUGAGCACCAGGAGGCGUGGAUGACUGGGGCUCUUAGAGGUUGCCUGCCAUAGCAGCAAGCUAGUUCCAAAGGCUCACUGUGGGUGGAAAUGAGCCCGCUCAAGAAUGACCCAGAAGUUGGGUGCGGCUGGGACUGCAGAGGAAGGACAAGGCUGGUGAUAUGCCCUGGGAGAGCCUGGAAAGACACUGAAGACACUUGGGAAGACACUGGCUUUCUGCCUCUCUUUCUUUUUAAACCGUGUUCUUAUAACCCCCUUGAGUUGCUUCCUCCGAGCUAUGGGAUCUGGGGAUAAUAUCCGCCUUCAUUUCUGAGGUAAUGAUCCGUGUCAUUGUCCUGAGUUAAUAUUUAUUGCACGGCUGUGCAUGAAGCUCCAUGUGAACCCCAGCAUCCAACUAGAGAGAGUGGGGGAAGCGUGCGUGUGACCUUGAGCCUCAGUUCCCUCAUCUAUGAAGCAGGCAGGGUGAUUCUUACCUCACCGGAUGUCUUACUUCGGGUUGUCCCAGUGGCUGACCCUGAAACAAGAACUUAAGUGCAAAGAGUAUAUUCAGAAAGUGUUUCCAGGAGACAGCGAUAGGGGUGCGGCCAGGGAGGGCAUCUAAUAAUGGGUAGGUUGCCACUGUGGGUUCAUCAUCCCACUGGGAGCUCUGGGAGCCAGUGGAGAACUUGAUCUUCAAAGUGAUCCCACCCAAGAGGCGAGGGAGCUUGGCUAUUUGUAUACCACCUCCCUUCAGCCACUGGUAUGGCUAGUGUGUCCCGGAGUGUGGACAGGGACUGACGGCGUCUGCUACCUGGGGCGUCACUCAGGACCCCGGACGGCCUCUCUUGGUGCAGUUGUGUACAGCCUCCUCCUCUAGUCUGAGCUUCCUGGGGCCAUUUCUUUAGCCUCCUCCCCCCGGUGAGGCGCAUCUAGCCAGGACUCAGUGCAUGUCUUUUGAAUAAAUUGUUAUGGUUAGAAACAUGUAUUAAAUGUUUAGUGUCGUUUCCAACACUUAGAACGCACCCCAUGAACUUUUUGGCAUUUUAUGGCACUUUAUUGGGCCAGUGAAGAAGAGUGUGUACUUGGGUUCCUUUGACCUUUGAGAAGGAUCCGUAGCCCCUCGCCGACCUACAGAAAGCUUAUCCCCUUUAAUUCCCUGAUUCUCUGAGGCACAUCCAUAUAGUGAUUGGCAGUUUCCAGAUGGGUUCCCUAAGCAUCAUGCCCUUGAACUCUCGCAGGAGCCCUUGUGGGAGGGGGUGAUGGUGCUUUUCCUCUUGUGCGACGUGAGCCAGUCCAGCAGGCCUCCACUGUGUUUCCAAGCAGAGCUGACAUGUCUGCUGGCAGAUUCAUUCCCACUCGUUCACUUGCCUGGAACAAUAGGUACAUUUGCCUGUGUGGAUACAGACAGACUUGGGGACCAAGGAAAAGGGAAGGGAGAGGGAGAAACUGCUUGCCUUUCUCAAGAAAUGAGUCUGAUCACUUCACUUUUACACCCAAAGUCCUGGACAUUAUUAUUUUCUCCAGUUUAUAUGAGGACACUGAGACUUAGAUGGAUGAAAGGACUUUGCCAAGGUCACCCAGUUAGUAAAGUGUAGAACCAGUAUUAGAACCUGACUUUAUAUCCCCAUCUCUGUGCAUAGUGCCAUAGGUGCUAAACAGGUUAUUUUAAUUAACGUGAUCAGGCACAAAGUACCCUGAACUCUCUUAUAAGUUCUUGGUCCCUUAGAAAAGGAAUCUGCUGCUGUCCUUAAGGAGCCUAUAAGAUCUCUGGGGUAAUAGAAUACAUUCUUUGUAAUAGAAAAUUACGAAAGGGUGAGUCUGCAGGGCUAAAAUGUUGAAGAAUGUGUGUGCAUUAAGAGUCUUUUAGUUGCAAGUGGUAGAAACUCAACUCAAAAUGGCUUCAGGAGAAAAGAAUACAUGUAUUAGAACACUUAACUGAUUCAGAUAUGGCUGGAUCAAGGAGUUCAAAUAAUGCCAUUGGGUAUAUAUCUCCUUUUGUUUUAUUCUUGAUUCUUAACCAGUCUCUCCUCAGUAAGGGAAAAGAUGGGCACAGGCAUCUCCAGGGUCUACACCCUACCAGCUUGUCCACC
rnacentral:lncRNA from 1 species